AAGACGUUCAGCGCUGUCGUGAAAUGUGAACGCGCCUGAGUAGGCACAGCAGCUUGUGAACCCGCUCCUAUAAUACCUCUACCCGCGUCUGUUUGUAAAUGCAUGUUUUCUUGCGUUUGUCAAUUUUUUUUCGAUUUCUCACAUUUCUUUAUAUUGGAGUUUUUCUUAGUUUUCGCGUUUGUGUGUGAAUACGUGCCUGCUUCCAUGCGUGUUUGCACUUACCCUUAUUUCUGUCCUUUUAUGUUAUAUUAGCAUUUGCUUUUGCUAGUUUUCUUUCAGCAAAGUCUUUACACAUUUUCAUUAACCAAUCUCAUUCAAAGCACUAACUCAUGUACACGGCAGGGCUGGCCUCUUCCAUCUCAUUAAAACCUUUCUCACUGGUC
rnacentral:lncRNA from 1 species